UGGGUGGCACGAGCUUUCCAGAACCAGUAAUUUCAUUUGUUUGUUAGUAUUUUUGUGAGUGGAAACGAAAGGGACUUGGGAGGAUGGCAUGUGAUCAUUUUUUCAGGAAAAGCUAGUUCUGUCCUUGAGAGUUCUUCAUUCUGGAAGAGUUGCUAGAAAAUCCUGAGUUGGAGGGGACCCUCCAGGUGAGAGCAAAUGAUGGGGCGGUGGCCGUGGGCUCCAGGGCUUUGCAGCGGAGGAGCUGCUGGGGAGGGGUUGCUGUCUCUGAAAAGCCCUUCUAGAAACAUGCAUAAAUCUGAGAUAGUACAGGGGGAAAGUCUGAGCGUCCGGGAGGAAAGAGAAAAAAAAAAGCAAAAACGGUUUUAAGAUGAAUGAGGGGGGUUGGGGAGUGGGCCGGUUCCAGAGAGAAACCGUGAAAGGAGGGAAAGUCAGAUUUUUUUUUGAGGCCCAGCCAGCCUUCAGAGCCUGCCUUCAGUGUCUGUCAGGACAAAGGAUGCUGCGCCCCCUGGUGUCAGACUGGCAGUCAGCACCGCUCGCAGCCGCAGAGACCUGAGGGCCGAGAGUCCCAGGGUCUUGCUGGGAAAGUCCACGGGUCAGGCAGAUGCCUUUCCUUCUGUUUGCGAAGGGUGUUGCAGUUGAAAUAGCCUUUGCUUUCUCCACUCUGGAAUUUAAAUAGAGACUCUAAUGGAGAGAGAGGGGGGUUUUGUUGUUGUUUUACGUGCAAUAUAGGCCAAUAGGACAAUGCCUGCUUCAAAGUAGCCUGGUGGGGUGGUAAGUCCACGGACCUGAGAAGAAGACCUGCUUUUGAGGUGGAGUGUUGGUCUGGGGGUGAGUCAUUCGACAUUUUAGAGCCUCCCUUUCCUUGUCUUAGAAACAAAGGGGUUGGAGUACCAAGCUCCAAAACUGGGAUUUAUUAAUUAAGAUAUUCCAAGAACCUUACAAAUUGGACAUUCUUUUUAUUUUUAUUAGCAUGCAGGUACCCAUGUUCUGUGGUUCAGCACAGGCUCCCUGAUUCUGAGCAAAGGUUUUUGUGUCCCCUUUCCCUUUUAAGAAAGGCAAAAUAUGGCUCUUUGCAGCACAGAAGCCACCCCUUCCACCUUUUAUGGAGUCUCCUGCAAAAAGCAACUGAGCGAGCAGGUCUUCAGACUCUGCUCUGUUUCUUUUAAAAAUAAAGUAGGAAAGUGUCGUGCUGGAAAUUAUGCUACUGAGUGUUACAUGUGGUAGGUGUGAGUAUAUGCUUCAACAGUUCCAGGCACAAGACCAAAAACGUCCCCAGAAUUAGCAGAGUUUUCAGCUAUAAUCUGGCUAACAUUUCUACAAAUAGGGUACAAAGACCAAUUUGAGAGUAUGCAGUCUCUAAGGGGCUGUAUGGUUGGGAUUCCGCUGGAAUUUAGGGCCGUCCCGUACACAGUCAUGUGAUUUUUAGUAGGCUGGGCCCCAGGAAAAAUUAUGCAGCGGCUGAGAGUACCCUCUCCUAAGCCCACAAGUCUAAUCACUGGGAUGGGUCCUCAGUCAUACCUCAGGGCGAUUUCUUCCCUCUAUGCUGCCCUUGAACUCCGAUCUCUGCAUAAGGGCUGCAUUUUGGGUUUGUUUUUAAGGAAACUGGUUGUAGCCCCAUGAAGGGUUACUUGAGUCGUCAUGCAGAUGUGGAGGGUGUGCACAGCCGUGGUUGUGUAAAGGACGUGGUGUCACUAUUCCAGAUGCAACACCAGGGAAGCAGGUCCCUCUGCAGGGGAGAGGUGACAGGAAGAAGAAGAGCAGCACAAAGAAGAGGACCCAUGGCAACGGUUGGGGACCAGGCCUGAGAAGAGAGUUGGAGUUUUGGCCCCUCUGAAUAACCAGAAGAGAGGAACAGCCUUCUAAGAGUGAGGCCCUCAAGACAUUUCCAGGCUGCCUGGACAAAGGCUUGGAAUGAUUACAAUAGUGAACCAUCCUGUCUUGGACCUGAAUCUAGAUUGAUGACCUAAUACAUCUUUUCCAACUCUGACUGCCAUGGUUUUAUGAGCAUCAAGAACUGGGCGUCUGCCACUGUCAACAAGUACAGAUUCUUCAGAGCUCGAACGUCUGCAGAAACUUAAGUGUCCCCCAAAGAACAGAGAUCGCACAGUGUCCCAGGGCUCCGGGGUGCUGCCUCUAGCUUUUACGCAUGACACUGGAACUCCUCUUCAGCAGGGUAAUUCUUAAAGGAGAGGAAGUGUGCCCGUUACUCACCCCUGUUAUAUUGGUUGAAGAACUCUGAGUCAGAGCGGGGCAGAUCUCUGGGAAGCUAAUUAAGCUUAGUUUAAGGCCCUGUCCUUUCCAGGGGCCCCUUCAGAAUGCUGUACCUAAUUUUGUACUUGUAAUUUUGCAUUCUUUGCAACGAACAGGCCCCUUAAUUGUAUAAGCGGCAGUUCCCCUGCCACCAUCACUGCCACCGUAGGAAUCGGCCCCAGAGCUUGGUGACUUGCACCAAAUCUUAGUUUGGUGAAAGUGCAAAAAUUAAACAAACUCUUCUUCAUUUUUGUGACACUCCCUCCACCCCACCUUGGGCAAGUCGCAGUUAAAGAGGAGACUUCUUCGAGUGCCAGUCCUCAGACGGCCUGUCAACGACAGCAGUGGUUCAAAAACUGGCUGCGUUUUUAAUUUAUCCUCCUUAGCUCCUCUUUAAAAGAACAUUUCGUUGUGGGCUAAUUAUUACAAAGGCUUGUAGACUCUAAAGGCAGAAGAAUUUCCAUGAGUGACCUCCCUUUGGUUAAGCAGCAUCUCCAUUCCAAUUUCAGCUAAGUUUUGUUUUCCAGUAAAGUUAAUGGGUUUGGACUAGCCUUCUACACUUUUGUAACAGGGCUCUCAAGGGACCAAGCUACAGCAACAUUUAUUUUUUCUGAUUACAAAAGUAAUGGCAUAUCUAUAUAAAUAUAUAUACACACAUAUAUAAAUAGCUUGAAACAUUAUAGCAUUGAAAGUGAAAAUCUUCCAUAAUCCCACACAGCUGAGAAAACCAGUUAACAUUUUUUUCAAGGCAUAUAUUAAAAAUUUCAUUUAUUAUUUUACAAAAAAAUGGGAUUAUACUUCAGCUUUGAAGCAUGCUGUUUUCCACCUAGCAAUAUGUCUCAGACAUCUUUCUAUGCCAGUCUGAAAAAAGUGAGCCUCUUUUUAAUCUUCUUUUUAAUGGCUCCACGGUAUGGUCCUGUAUGGCCAAACCAUACUAUCUCUAACCAAUUGCCUGUUAAUGCACACUUGGGUUCUUUCCAGUUUUCCCUGUACCAAAUAUUCUUGCAAACAUCAUUUUACUCUUACAUCUUUGAGCCGUUGUACGAGUAUUUCUCUAUGAUGAAUUCCCAGAAGGUGAAUUAUUAUUGGGUCAAAGGGUAUGAGCAUUUCAUUUUUAAUAGCUAUUGCCAAAUUGCCCUCCAAUAAUUUUAUACCGAUUUACACCUUCACCCACACUGUGAGAAGGAGCCUGUUUCCUCACCCCACCCCCCCUUAGCAACACUAAAACCAUGCAAUUUAGGGAUGUCUGAUGUGAGUUAGAAGUUAAGAGGUUCAGCCUGUGGAGUUUUUUUUGCCUUUGUGAAAAGCUAACAAAGACAUCAAAAGUCUCCCCCUUUCCCUGAUGAACCCCCUGCUCUGAGUGAGCCGAUACCCAGACAGACAUCCAGCUAAUGUAAGAGGUAAAAAUGCUAAUACCUAAUGCUUAUUUUUUGGCUGGAUUUUAGCUGUUUUGUUUUUAGCUGGAUUUUUCAGAGAUAAUUUGUUGUUGAGUGCAUAAACAAAUGUGUUAUAGAAUACUUAAUAACUUAAUUAUUCAGGAAAUGGAUAUCGGUCCUGACCUCAGCACUGCAGUUUUAACGUAAGCAACAUAUUUAAUCUUAGAGCGCCAGUAUGUUUACAUCUGAAACAGUCCUUGAUUUCAUCUUUAUGUUUAUUGGUGCAGAGCAAUCUGAAAAAGCUAUUCUUUAAAGACAUGGGAAAGGGGCUUAGUCGGCCCUAUGAAAGAAGAGCAAGGUUUGCCAAUAUCCAGGUUUUAGGAACUUGUUUUGGAGAUUACUAUGGUUUACAUCCCCAGAAUUAGGAUCACCGGGCAUUAGAGCAGGUUGGGGGGGGGGGUCUUUAGGGGUUAUCCAGCCAAAAGAUUUUGAAACCCUGCUCCGCAAAGCCUGGGGGUUGCUUCAGGGAAACAGAAGAGGUUGGUGGAAGAGGAAAGCAGAUGACGGCUGAAGAUUCAUGGUAUUCCAAUCCUAACUGCACCACAAGUGCCCUGCUUUGAUCAACGUCAUGUGGUGGGUCAUAUAUUAUGUCAUCUGGAGCAAGUUGAUCUUUUAUUUUCCUCUUCUGUAAAACAGACACAGUAACAGUGCCUAUUUAAGAGUAGUGAAGAUUAAAUUAAGUAAUAUUAUACACAUGUAGCUCUUAGCCCAGUGCCUGGCACAUGCGAAGGACCCAAUAAAUGUUUGUUAAUGUAUUAGUUAAGAUUUUCCUUUGAAAAAGGAUUCUGUUGCUUACCUCUCAAAACCACCCAUUUACUUUUGCAUCUAUACAAUAAGGCGAUUUGUUUCAGAUGGUUUUAGAUGGUUUUAGAUUUGAUUGAUUUCCUGCUUCUCAAUCCCAUGAUCUUACCCUCAGAUCCCAGGACCCGUCCACUUUGCUGGAGAUGCUGGGGGCUCUGAGGAUAACUGGCCUCCAAGACAGCAGGUGGGACUAUUUGCCACCCAGCUGGCCAAGAUCAAGGCUCCUCUAUCUGCCUUGCUCUUUCUUGGUUUGUGAAAGAAAUAUGACCUUGUGAAGAAAAGUUUUCUUUGCCCUGUGGGCGAAGUUGUCUACAGGGUUCACUCUGAGAAUCAAACAUGAAAGUUGCAAACUCUUAGGCAGCUUUCCUAGGGGCCAUCUUUUCCAUGAUUAGGAGGACAGUUGAAAGGAGUUCAGAAAUGGGCCCUCAAACCUUCUAAAAUGGACUGCAUUUUCUAUUCUUGGCCAGACACUUUUAAAAGGAAGAACUCAUCCAACAAACAUACACCCUUAUCAAUCCUUUUUUUAGGAAAGCUUGUCUUUGUGUAGGGGAAGUUUUCAAGUUCUCCUAAUGAAUCACAGACGUGAGGCGGGACGGGGAGAACUUCAAGCAUUUUCCUUUUUGAAUAUGUCUAACAUGAGACCAAAAACCAGGGAGCGAGGAGCAAACCCUUCUGAACUGUGUAUCUCUUCUGCCCAAGAACUCAUUCCAUGCCAGUCACUGCUGCCGUCUGAGAGCCAGACGUGGGCUGGGGGAGGGGUCUCUCUGUGUCAGGGCCAUUCAGGGUCUGUGGUAGACUUAGCAGCAAGUAGACGUAAAAGCUGUAGAAUUAAGAGUUGAAAACAGUGUUUAAUGAAACCCCUCCCACCAGACGCUCUUGAUCAAAGUCUAUCCUUGCACUAAGACAAUUGAUCUACAGUUGCAUACAUAAAAUUUUGGCAACACUCUGUCCUCAUGGCUUUCAACAGAGGCUUUAGACCUCUGAGACUGGGCAUUGUCCCAGAAUUGAGAUCCAGUUGCAUUACGCAUACCAGAAGACACACCACCACAGCCGAGGCCCGUGCAACCACUUUCUUUUAACCUCGCGUCUGUGAAAAAUUACUUUCCAAAAAAAUAAGUGAAACCCGAUGUCUUCUCCGGGUGGUUAUUCUUGCGCCUAUGAAGUCAAUAAAACUCUCCAGAUUUAUUAGACAGCCCUGCUGUGGAAGACAAGACCACUUCCUAUUCCCUAGCAGAAACGUGUGCCUUUCCUUUCUGUAACCUUCUGACCACAGAUUUUCAUUUUGCUCGUUUCUUUUCUUUUUCUCAGAAAACUGGUCAGAAUCCUGUAAGAUAAGUGGCUUGGCCUGCACUAACAGCCCCAUUUCUGGCCUCCAGGAGGGACAAAAUGAGCAUAGUUCAGGCUCUUCUACCUUUUCUUGUUUACCUCCCAUCUUCAAGUAGCCCUUUUUUCUUUAGGCCAGAAGUAGCAGAGUUUGGAUGUCUCUCCUGCCACCACACUAAGCAUGAAAUGCAGAACCUACCAACAAAUUAUACUCCUGUGAGAGCCCACUAACCAGCGGGUGAUGACAAUGGGAUUCGGUUCUAUUUAAUACAACAAUAUUUAUUGAGCUCCUACUAUAUACGCCGGGGCUUCCCUGGAUAUGAAGAUGCAAAGAUAUGGAGGAUGAUGUUGCCUUCUUUCAAGGGGGAAGUCAACACUUACUGAGUGAAACUCUGAGUGGGACAGAUUCGGAAAUAAACAGAAUGUUGUGGGAUACAAAAACUAGAACAUAGAACGAUUUCUCAGAGAGGAUGACUCUCGGACUCUCUGUUUAAAGAUGAUUAGGAGGUUAUCAGAUGAACCUGGAGAAGGGCAGCCCCAGCAGAGGGACCAGCAAGCACAGAGAAUCAGAGGUGUGGACUAACACAGAUUUGGGACCUAAGAAGUUGUGUGCAUUGAAUGAAGGCCAAAAGGUUGUAAGUAACCUGUGCUCUUACAUGAAUGUGGGUAUAUUUUUUGGCGAUGGGGAUCUACUAGAUGGGUUAGAGGCUUGGAGAACUUGUGGUAGCAUAAGCAACCAGGUGGGGGACAAGUGGCCGAGUGCUAUCUUGGGAGGCGUGAAGACAACCUAAACCCGGCCAGUGUGGUCAAAAUGCAGUCAAAUGCUCUGCCACUGAGCUAUACCCCCAUAGUAUGGUCAAAAUGAAGAGGGUGAUUCAGAGUGAGAGCAAAGAGAAGACAUGGAAAGGAGGUGGAGUUACAAAGAUUCUCACCCCAGAAAGACUUCUAUGCAGUUGUAUUCCACUAUUUAAGAGUGCAAAUUACCUCCCAAAUGCUUUUAAUUGUAAGUUAUUGACUCACUAGUUCUUUUUAUUCCUACCCAUUUCCGGAAAUGGUCUGCGGAAGGAACCAAUUCUGUACCUAGAGUCAGGUCCAUCCUGAGUGACUGUGGGGCCUGUGGCCAAUCUACGAGUUGCUGAAGAGCAUUUGUAGAACAUUAUCCCUGGUUCAGACAUUCUGCAUAUCAUGGGAUCCUGUUUGGAAGGUCAGGGGCAAUGACAAUGGAGAAGCAAAGAGAAACCUGGAGAAGGGAGGAAUGCUGGAACACGGAAAGACUCACUCACCUUGAAGAAGAGGACACACACUGGUGUGAUGAGUUCGUGUAGUCAGUUCUGGCUCAGGACUUAGAGUUUAUUCUUAGAACACGUACGCUUGGGAUUUCUUCACGAUGGCAUGAAUCUGUUAUUUAAUUAUUAUGAGAACUUACCUUCCCAAAUCUUCUUCUGUGUUAAUGGGAAAAGAGAGCCCAUUGUCAGCAGCGUCUGCUUAGGAAUAUCUUUUGUCUUGGAGCUUGUUGUAAUCACUUCCAGACCGGUGGUAUAUUUAUGAUUUACAUAAUGUUACAAAGGAAGAAGUCUUAAGGAUUUUUCUUUCUCUAAAUCUUUGUGAAUUAUUAUUUUAGACUCAUUGCCAGAUUUUUGUUAAAGGGGGAAGUUGAUGAACUUUUAAACAUGUCAUUACAUGCCCCGAAAUAGCAACUCUUUGUUCUUGCAAAGAUUUUUGUGGGAAUUUAAAGGACUGUGUGUGUAUGUGUGUAUGUGUGUGCAUAUGUGUGUGUGCGUGUGUUUAGAAACAGGUAGGAAAGGAAAUGGGCAAAAAGGAACACUUGAGGUUCACUGAUAAAGUUAAAUACAUAUUUUGUUUUUCUGUUAGAACAAAAGUUGGCAGAUUUGGGGGAAUCUACCUAACAUUUGGUGUGGGUUUAGGAAGCAGGCUCUACAUUCAUUUCCAAUCAUGUUUCAAUAAUUAGGGGUAGCACCAAAAGGGUUAAGCCCUAAAGCAAGGAAAUAUCUCUAAGUCAGAAAACAAAGGGAAACUUGCAUAUUUCUGAAGAUGACAUCGGAUCGGCCUGUGAAUUUCAAGCAAUUAUGCGAUAUUAUGAUUCCCACUGAGUACGCAUUAGUUGGAAUACUGAUCUUUUUAUUUCUCCAUGUCCCGGGGUUGUACACUGAAAGAGCCCUGUUCAACUUUGCAUGUCAGAAUUUUGAAGGAAAAAUUAUAGUAAAAUAUGUUUAAAACAGUGGGGCCUUAUGUGAGUGAACACAACAUUUCCCAAGGCUUUCAAAAAUCCUUUUGUUAAAAAUAUGGUUUUUAUUUUGUUUCUUUUUUUUCUUUCUUUCUUUAAUAUUUUUUUCCUUUUACUCAGGCUUUUACCUCCCCUCCUUCCUGGAGGAAAGAAGAAACAAGUUUCAAAGGAUAUACAUAACACAGCCUACAUCUAGGGCCUGGGGACUUACAAUGGGUUUGUUUUAAAAUGAGACACCCCACAUGGAAAAUAAACAAGUGAGAAAAGUUCAUCUGUGUAUAUAACUUCAGUUCCAACAACUAUGGUGACAGUCACAGUGUCUGAGUAAGUGUCCCCUAGAGUCAUCUUGUGAGCAAAAUGAUUAUUAAUUGAGGUUUCUGUGAGUCUAAAGAUGGUUGUUCACAAAGGGUAGGAAUUUUGCUAGCGUGAGGAACUAAAGACGGAGCCCCUGGGUUGUUCUAAGAUAAAAUGUCUUUUUCAAAUUGAAUUAAUUGAAAACAAAACAAAACAAAAAACAGGCACAACGAGGUGCCAGGAUUAGGAAUGAUGGUGAACGAAUGUCCAAUUCAUUUCAUCCUGUGAUAGCCUUUCUUCCAAAGAAGAGAAGUAAUUGGUUGGAUCAGUUAGGAAUUGCAUUUAGCUGUCAGUGAUAGACAUUUAACGUCAAUGGGUUAUUUUUAACAGAAAAGAAAUCCUACCUCUGGCUAUCUGGGGCUCAUGUGGUGACUCUUCAAAGUCAUCGGGGACCCAGGCUCUUUCUAGAUCUCUGUUCUUCCCUCCUUAGGCCAUGACGUCCUUCUAGUCAUUAAAUGUUCUCUCCAAGCAUGAAAGAGGAAAGGGGAGGGCAAAAGGGAUGCCCUCUUAGCUUAGUUAACUCCUUUAGAGAGCUUCCCCUGAAAUGCCUCAAAAUAAUUUCACUUAUAAUUUAUUAGCCAGACUUUUGUCACAAGGCCACACCCAGCUGCAAGGGAGCCAGGAAGAUGUGGUCUCUUAGGAGGAAAACCAUCCCGGCCCCAAAUGAACUCAGGGUUCUGUAACCAGUAAUAAGGGAAGGUCAGGUAUUGGGUGGGAAAUCAAGUCUCUGUCAUACUCCUAUAAAACGUCUGUAAUGCCAGUGCAUUAUCCAAGGCUUAUGGAUUGCUUCUGUUUGAAUCAUGCGGUAUUUAAGACACUAGUAUAAGGACAUAGUUUUGCAUUGCAUUGUCUCAAAGCAUAUGGCCAAAAUAAAUACUU